rnacentral:rRNA from 1 species
AGUGAACGCUGGCGGUAGGCCUAACACAUGCAAGUCGAACGGCAGCACAGUAAGAGCUUGCUCUUACGGGUGGCGAGUGGCGGACGGGUGAGGAAUACAUCGGAAUCUACUUUUUCGUGGGGGAUAACGUAGGGAAACUUACGCUAGUACCGCAUACGACCUACGGGUGAAAGCAGGGGAUCUUCGGACCUUUCGCGAUUGAAUGAGCCGAUGUCGGAUUAGCUAGUUGGCGGGGUAAAGGCCCACCAAGGCGACGAUCCGUAGCUGGUCUGAGAGGAUGAUCAGCCACACUGGAACUGAGACACGGUCCAGACUCCUACGGGAGGCAGCAGUGGGGAAUAUUGGACAAUGGGCGCAAGCCUGAUCCAGCCAUACCGCGUGGGUGAAGAAGGCCUUCGGGUUGUAAAGCCCUUUUGUUGGGAAAGAAAAGCAGCAGGUUAAUACCCCGCUGUUCUGACGGUACCCAAAGAAUAAGCACCGGCUAACUUCGUG